GGUACGGGAAACCGCGCCGCACCGCCACGACGGGAGAGGAAAGUCCGGGCAACACAGAGCACCGCCCUUCCUAACGGGAAGAGAUUCGUGAGGGUCUGCAAAGCGUAACAGAAAAUAACCGCCCGGCGUAUGUCCGGCGCAAAACGCAGCGAUGCGGGGCGCGUUCCGGAUGGCUGGGUAAGGGUGAAAAGGCGGGGUAAGAGCCCACCGCGGCAGUGGCGACACUUGCCGGUCGGUACGCACGGCGGGUUGCAAGAUCAAGUAUAUCGGCUUUUUCGGGGGUUGCUCGCCCCAACGCCGAGGGGUAGAUCGCUGGAGGCCGUCGGUGACGGCGGUCGUAGAUAAAUGACAGGGGGCUUUUGGCGGUUUUGCCGCCGCGCCGGUUUAGCAAACAAGCAACGAACGCGACGUUGCGGCAAAAUCGCUCAAAAGUCACAGAACCCGGCUUAUAGCCCUUGCAGUGC
rnacentral:RNase_P_RNA from 1 species